UACGUAGGGACCAAGCGUUGUUCGGAUUUACGUGGCGUAAAGGGCGCGUAGGCGGCGUGACAAGUCACUUAGUGAAAUCUCUGAGGCUUAACUCAGAACGGCCAAGUGAUACUGUUGUGCGUAGAGUGCAGAAAGGGCAAUCGGGAAUUCUUGGAUGUAGCGGUGAAAUGACGUAGAUAGUCAAGAGGGAACACCUGGAGGCGAAGGCGGGUUGCUAGGCGUGACACAUGACGGCUGAGGCGACGGAAAGCCGUAGGGUAGCAAACGGG
rnacentral:rRNA from 1 species